rnacentral:rRNA from 1 species
UAGGGUGCGAGCGUUACUCGGAAUUACUGGGCGUAAAGCGUGCGCAGGCGGUUGUGCAAGACAGAUGUGAAAUCCCCGGGCUUAACCUGGGAAUUGCAUUUGUGACUGCACGGCUAGAGUGCGUCAGAGGGGGGUAGAAUUCCACGUGUAGCAGUGAAAUGCGUAGAUAUGUGGAGGAAUACCGAUGGCGAAGGCAGCCCCCUGGGAUGACACUGACGCUCAUGCACGAAAGCGUGGGGAGCAAACAGG